rnacentral:lncRNA from 1 species
CUGCCAUCAAGAAUCAAAUUAGCUUUAAUAAAAUGAUUGAAUCUCAGUUAAAUCAAAUAGCUGCUGCUGUUCCUGUUACUAACCCCGGUAUACCAUCACAACCGGAAGGAUUAGAAUCUGCAAAUCUUGUAGACAUGUUUGAUGCAGGUAAUAACUGGAGUAACCCCGUCACUGAAUUCUCUACUGACCUUCUGCCGGUCAAGAGAGGCGAUCCAGGACGCCCCGUCAUCCCGAUCUCCAUCGGCAUGGUGGACGUUCUAGAAGCACUCUGCGACUUUGGCUCUAGCGUCAACAUUAUACCCAGGGUACUCUAUGAGAAAUUCUUUACAUAUCCUUUAUUAGAGACAACCAUGUGUUUGCAGUUUGCAGAUCAGACGAUAACUUUUCCAAAGGGAAUAUUGAAGAACCUUUGUGUCCGAGUUGGUACCUUGUAUGCCCCAGCAGACUUCGUAGUGGUAGAGACCGGAAAUGACGAGAGAGCACCUAUCAUCUUAGGGAGGCCAUUCUUGAACACCACGGGAGCUAUCAUCUACGCUAGUGCUGCCAAGAUCAGUUUCUACGUCAAAGGGAGGAAGGAGACAUUUUUCUUCAAGAACAAGACUACACAAAUUCCAAAUCAAUCCAGACGUGAAUCAAGGAAGAGGACCAACAGGAGGAACAGGAACAAGCAAGUGUGGACCGAGUCAGCUAAGAUGGUCACUGUAGUUCAUGGAGGCCAAGAUCACCAACUUAAGUCACCGCAUUUGACCAAGAAGGACGACCCAAGAAUGCCAAGCAUCUAUUGCUCCAUAAAUGGAUACAACUUCUACAAGGCAACUUGUGACACCGGAUCGGGCGUCAACAUAAUGGCUGCAGUCACCUAUCGGCUCUUGUUCGGAACCAUGCCACUAAGACCAACAUACAUUCAGCUCCAGAUGGCAGAUCAGACGUAUUAAGAAGUUAAAGGAAUAGUAACUGAUGUCCCAGUCAAAAUAGACGAUCACUUUGUCUACACAGACUUUCAGGUUAUUGACAUGGGAGAAGACGAAUACGAUCCACCCAUCAUCCUUGGAAGACCGUUCCUCAGCACCGUUAAAGCAAUUAUCUACAUUGGAACCGGAGAAGUCCAUAUGCACUUCCCCUCAGAGAAGGUACGUCGUUAGUUUACUGACCCUAACUAUAUCGUUGAAGAAUCUAAGCAGGUAAGGAAAAGACGCAACCACAACCAGAGGAGGCAGAUCAUCAGGGAUGGAUGGGCAGACUAUGAAGGAGAAGUGAUACGGUCAGAAGACGUAGAGUUUAAACAGAAUUAUCUAGAGGAGAUUGAAGCACCAAGUCAGGUGUGGAAAAUGAAGAUAACUACACAUGAAGAGGAGGCGCUGCCGGAAGUACCGACUACGCCACCCAACGAACCUCAGGACAAUUGAAAAAAAUGGAGAGUCCCGUUCGGAGGACUUAAAAACACCGAACGCCUUGCCAAGAGGUAAACUUGGUAGUUAUCCUUUCCCUUUCAAUUAUUUCAAAUAGUUUACUUAGUUAAUCAUGUUCGUACUAUCCUAAAAAGAAAAUAAAAAUGUGAAAAACAGUAAGCCCCAUGUGAGUAGACGAGUGGCAUAAAACCCAUAAGUACAUUCACUAUGGUGGCAUAAAAAUAAAAUAAAUAAUUCUUUUCUGUUUUAUAAAAAAAGAGAAAAUAUAAAAACAGGGAGUAAUAAUUAUUAAGGAGUCUCAACAUGAUAAAGGCUAGAUAUUUAUGAUAACACUUAAUCAAGUUCCACAAGCUUUGUUGUCUAUUUGAGCUCCACAGAAUUUAAAAAUCAAGAAGACUAGCAAACGGAGGACAUUCUAAUCGCUGUCAGAAUACUGCUGACUUUCAAAUACACUUCUGCCACCUGCUAGCUACAUCAAGAGAAAUUACGUCAAAAUUCAGCUUGGGGGAGAGCACCCCCAUUUAUCUCGAUAAGUAUUUCUAUCUAUCUAUCUUUAUACUUAUAUUAUUUUAGAAUAUAAAUAUACAUAACUAUGAAAAAAACAAAUAAGGAUUUUGUGCUUAUAUAUAUGUCUUUUGCUUAGUGUGUUUAAUAAAUAAAUAAAGUGGCUAUGCUAAUCUGUAUCUUAAAAAAUAAAAAAAACUCUAGCAUGGAUAUGAUGAAUAGUUGCUCUGCCUAAUUUGCAAAUUUUAAGUUCUCUCUCAUGUUUAGACAUAACUGUUAUAAUUUAAAGCUUGCUCUAGACCUAAACUUGUGGGAUGAAAACUUGAUCUGAAGUCUAAGUUGUUAACGGAUAUGAUAUGGGAAGGUUGAGCUGCUGUUUAUCUGUUCCUAGAGAUGCUAGAAUUCUGGAGAAUUUUAUCUUUGAAAAUCUUUAAAAUGUUGCAUGAUGAGUUCCUGUAUGAUGAGAGUUUAAAUUCCUACCACAGCCAUAUAUACAUGCUUGUUAGAUUUUGAGCCACACAUUUACUAUUUACUGCUUAUGAGCAUUGAGUGUGGUCAAGCUGUGUAGACCCUUAGGAGCUUGUCAUGUGGUUAAAUCAAGAUUCACUUGCACGUUCACUCAUAUAUGCUACUUCUACUCCGGAAGUACCAUCCACAUAUAUCCACCCAUUCCAUCUCCAGAAUCACCUAAAAAUAUUCUACUCCUAAUCCGGGAGAGAAUAACCAAAAAUAUUUCUGUUUUUCCCUUGUGAAAUAAAUGCUCAAGUUAUCUUGUUACUACCACUUGCUACAUUAUCUCAAGAGAUGAGUGCUCUGAAAAAAAAAUAAAAAUAAAAUACGAGGAAAUAAAAAGGAGCAAGUGCCCGAAACCUCGAAAGAAAAGAAAAAGUGAGACGAGAGGUAAAAAUGGACAAGUGUCCGAUAGUAGAAUUAGGGGUACAAGAUACCCACCUGAGAGAAAAGAAAAAGAAGAGCAUCUCAUUCUCCUCACUAUUCAAAAAGCAAGGAAGGUAUGUAUCCCCUCAAAAGAGCAAAAGUAGAAUUUGACUUUCACCAUUGUUAUCACCAUCAUCACCAUACACCAUUCAUUCGCCACACAUGCACAUCUUGAUUAAACUUAUUGACUUGUUUCUUUGGAUCCAUGGUUUGACUAUACAAUAAAUGUCUUGUAAGUAUGUAUACUUUAUCUCCCACCUAUGAGCUCCAUAUAUUAAAGCCUUAUUAGAGUAGGGUGAGAGAGAAGGCAAUGUCACUAUGCUUUAUACCACAAAUACUACAUAUCUUGAGAGAAGGCAUAUAUCAUCACUGCCUUGGUAAGGAUCCAGAAAUACCACAAAAGAGAGAUCUGAGAGAAUCAUACAAGGAAUCUCUGAGUUUUAUUUGAAAAUCUGCAAAAAAACCCCAGAGCUAUAGCUGAUCAAGAAUAACAGACAUGGCACUUGACUAGACUGUUCUAUCUUUUAACUACUCAAGACAGAAGUGACGGUUACAAGUCCCAUGGUGUAGGUAAAGUAAGUAAGUUUUAAGUCUUGACAGUUUACUCUAACUCAGAGAUGAGAUCUUAUUUAAAAAGCAUGUGUACCGUCAAUUUUUUUAGAUAUUGCAACAACUUAUGAUCCAUAGCUGAGUCUAUCCUUGCUCAAGGACGAGCAAGAGGAAAGCUUGGGGGAGUUUGUUGACGGUCCUUAAGUAUCAAAUUUAAUUAUCAAAUAAAUAAAGAAAAGGAUGCAAAUGAAAUCAACAUCUAGAUUUAGGGUUUUAUUUGACAGAAUUCCACGAGUUUUGGUGUUUGUCUAUUUCUGCAGGGGGUUAUCAGGAAAUACGGAAGAAAGGCCCACACGUCGGGAUUACAAAGAGAUAUUAACAUGCUGCGCAAUUAUCUUACAUCUAGAAGCCUCCAGAAGCAAUGAGACCGAAGCGGAGGCAAAACGGGGCCAGAGGCAGGGCGCCCGCCCUCCUGCCCUGGGCGCCCGCCCACCUCCUGAGUCCAAUCAGGACUCUGCUUCGUGGGAGAUCUCCACCAACCUAAAGGAUGAAUCUAAACCAUGCAAUCUAUGUCGGUUUGAUCCAACGGCCCAUAUUCACUUGAAGGGACUAUAAAACCAGACCCCCUGGCCCCUGGAGGAGAGAGCCUCUCAACCCUAAUUCAUUGUUCUUCAUGGGAGAAGAAGCCCCUGAUCAAGAUUAGAGCCACCACAUCAAUUAGAUAUCUAGAUUAGCAUAGCUACAUAGGAUUAGAACUAGAAGGAGUCAAUCUUCGAUUGGUUUCCGGAUCUGUCAAGAGGAUUCUUGGUAAUUCUCUAAUUGUUCUUCUAAUUGUUCUCUAAUUAUCUUUGUUCUUCAAUAUUAUGAAUAUGACUUUGUUCUACUUCAAUAUAUUGCUUAUGACUUUGCUCUACUUGCUCAAGAUUAUAUUGUUCUUAGUUUAUCAUAGUUAUGUACUUGGCUUAGUUAGAUUGGAUCUAUAUACAUGCUUAGGAUCGUAUAGCGUUUAUCCAUUGGAUCCAUGGGUAAAUGAUAGAUAUUGUGUAGGAGUGUUGCUUAUACCGUAUUUAUCUGCGAUUGUACCCAAUAUGCCAGAUCGUGGGGUGGUUCGUGAUAGUGACAGCUUCAUUGAUUCUUAUAUAGUCCCCCUCUCGUGUAUUGGGCUGGCAGAGCAAUAUUAUUACAGGGGAGUGAUUGCUAUGUUUCUCAUAUUCCUUGCUAAUAUCACUAUGCAUGGGCGUAGUCUUGUCUCGCAAUGAUUGCUAAGUAUGCUUGCACUAACUAUGAUAUGCUAGACUAUAUAGUUAAGAAUAACUUAGGGAAUAUUCUUGUAGUUCGUUCUAAUACCAUGCUAAUGACUUUCUAGAGUAUCUAAUUGAGGUGCUUAUCAUAUUUAUUAUGUGGCUAGAUCAGAUUAAUUAUCUUUGUCACUAUUAUUAAUUCAUAUAUCUUUUAUGUGACACUUAUCCCUGUAUGAAGAGUUAGAUAUAAUGUUCUCAAUUAUACAUGCAAUGAUAGAUGCUCAAUCUCAUAUUCUAUUCUGUAAUCAAUAUUGAUGAUUGCUAAUCCCUUCCUAGUGGUAAAAAUAUAAAUAACGAUACCUGGAAUACUUCCCGGUUAAAAUGCUACAUCGGUAUUAAUCUGUGCGCGUGCAGAUCCCAUUCAUUAUUUAUUUAGAAGAGCAAUUGCAUAUUUCAAUACCGCGUCUCUUAUAUCAUGCUGGGGAUGACAACUUGGCUUAAGUGGUGUGAGGGAUAGGUUUGGCAUUUUUGGCACCGUUGCUAGAUUUAGAGAACUUAGUCUACUUUUGGUAAUGAUGUUAAGAAUACCCAACAAACAUUUUUGGCGCCGUUGCCGGGGAAGGUUGAUUACUAAUCAGGAAUGGAAUAAAAGAUUUUGAGUUAUCAUUCGCAUCACUAAUAUGAUUGAGCUUAUCUAUUCUCUCAUACAGUUUUACCCCGAUUUUUCUAUUUUAUCUUAUGCAGGGGAAUGUAUGAAUAGAAGACAUCUUCCAGGAAAUUUUGUUGACAAUCCCGAAGCAUUAUUCAAGAAGACGAGAGCCAAGCUCAAGAAAAGAUCAUCAACACUUCAGCAAGAAGCUUCAUCCAAUCAAGAAGAUCACCGGAACUUGUCUUCAGAGUUCGAAGCCAUGGCGAACAAAUCAAUCCGCGAGUUCUCAGCUCCCACUACGGACAACAUCCGCACUGGACCUGCUGCAGAGAUCGACAGCAACUUUGAGCGCAAGCCUGGACUUAUCAACAUGGUGCAAUCCAGCCAGUUCUAUGGGAAGGCACACGAAGAUGCUAGUGCUCAUUUACAACACUUCCUGGAGAUUUGCAACACAUUCACCAUAUCAGGAGUUUCCAAAGAUGCUAUACUACUUUGCCUCUUCCCAUUCUCACUGUUAGGGAGAGCGAAGCAGUGGUUCUACGCUACAAAGGAGAAGAAUACUACGUGGGCACUCUGCUCAACAAACUUCCUGGCUAAGUUUUUUCCCAUGGGCAAGACCAAUGCUCUCCGUGGGAAGAUUACAAGUUUUCAGCAACAAAAUGAUGAAUCUGUUCCAGAAGCAUGGGAGCGCUUUCAAGACUACAUCCUAGAAUGUCCCCAUCAUGGAAUGGAGAGUUGGCUAUUGAUGCAGACGUUUUAUCAUGGGCUCGGCAACAGUGCUCGAGAGACCAUGGAUGCUGCAGCUGGAGGAGCAUUCUUAUCACUUACUAUACCACAAGCCACAGCUCUUGUGGAGAAGAUGGCGUCCAACCAAAGCUGGAAUGAAGAGAGGACCCAGACACGCAAGAGAGGUGGAGGUAUGCAUCAGCUGAAGGAGGUAGACAUGCUGUCUGCAAAGCUAGACCUGCUCAUGAAGAAGCUCGACGAUAGAGCUGGAAACAAGAAAGAAGUUAUGCACAUCUACGACUCUCACAUGACUUGUGAGGAGUGUGGAGACACUGGACACUCAGGCAACCACUGCCCUGAGAUGCUUGAGGAUGUGAAUUACAUCAACAAUAACAACAACAACUACUACAACCGUCCUCAACAAAAUCAAGGUUGGAAUCAACAGAGGCCUAACUGCUCAGGUAAUUAUCAAGGUAAUAAUUCUUACAACAAUAAUAAUAAUUUUCCACCUUUGAGAGAGUUAGUGUCUAAUCAAGGAAAGCUAAUGGAUAACAUGUCUAAGAAAUUGGCAUCAAAUGAUAAAAUGCUAGAAAAUAUAAAUAAUAGAAUGGAUAAUUUCUCUACUGCCAUCAAGAAUCAAAUUAGCUUUAAUAAAAUGAUUGAAUCUCAGUUAAAUCAAAUAGCUGCUGCUGUUCCUGUUACUAACCCCGGUAUACCAUCACAACCGGAAGGAUUAGAAUCUGCAAAUCUUGUAGACAUGUUUGAUGCAGGUAAUAACUGGAGUAACCCCGUCACUGAAUUCUCUACUGACCUUCUGCCGGUCAAGAGAGGCGAUCCAGGACGCCCCGUCAUCCCGAUCUCCAUCGGCAUGGUGGACGUUCUAGAAGCACUCUGCGACUUUGGCUCUAGCGUCAACAUUAUACCCAGGGUACUCUAUGAGAAAUUCUUUACAUAUCCUUUAUUAGAGACAACCAUGUGUUUGCAGUUUGCAGAUCAGACGAUAACUUUUCCAAAGGGAAUAUUGAAGAACCUUUGUGUCCGAGUUGGUACCUUGUAUGCCCCAGCAGACUUCGUAGUGGUAGAGACCGGAAAUGACGAGAGAGCACCUAUCAUCUUAGGGAGGCCAUUCUUGAACACCACGGGAGCUAUCAUCUACGCUAGUGCUGCCAAGAUCAGUUUCUACGUCAAAGGGAGGAAGGAGACAUUUUUCUUCAAGAACAAGACUACACAAAUUCCAAAUCAAUCCAGACGUGAAUCAAGGAAGAGGACCAACAGGAGGAACAGGAACAAGCAAGUGUGGACCGAGUCAGCUAAGAUGGUCACUGUAGUUCAUGGAGGCCAAGAUCACCAACUUAAGUCACCGCAUUUGACCAAGAAGGACGACCCAAGAAUGCCAAGCAUCUAUUGCUCCAUAAAUGGAUACAACUUCUACAAGGCAACUUGUGACACCGGAUCGGGCGUCAACAUAAUGGCUGCAGUCACCUAUCGGCUCUUGUUCGGAACCAUGCCACUAAGACCAACAUACAUUCAGCUCCAGAUGGCAGAUCAGACGUAUUAAGAAGUUAAAGGAAUAGUAACUGAUGUCCCAGUCAAAAUAGACGAUCACUUUGUCUACACAGACUUUCAGGUUAUUGACAUGGGAGAAGACGAAUACGAUCCACCCAUCAUCCUUGGAAGACCGUUCCUCAGCACCGUUAAAGCAAUUAUCUACAUUGGAACCGGAGAAGUCCAUAUGCACUUCCCCUCAGAGAAGGUACGUCGUUAGUUUACUGACCCUAACUAUAUCGUUGAAGAAUCUAAGCAGGUAAGGAAAAGACGCAACCACAACCAGAGGAGGCAGAUCAUCAGGGAUGGAUGGGCAGACUAUGAAGGAGAAGUGAUACGGUCAGAAGACGUAGAGUUUAAACAGAAUUAUCUAGAGGAGAUUGAAGCACCAAGUCAGGUGUGGAAAAUGAAGAUAACUAUACAUGAAGAGGAGGCGCUGCCGGAAGUACCGACUACGCCACCCAACGAACCUCAGGACAAUUGAAAAAAAUGGAGAGUCCCGUUCGGAGGACUUAAAAACACCGAACGCCUUGCCAAGAGGUAAACUUGGUAGUUAUCCUUUCCCUUUCAAUUAUUUCAAAUAGUUUACUUAGUUAAUCAUGUUCGUACUAUCCUAAAAAGAAAAUAAAAAUGUGAAAAACAGUAAGCCCCAUGUGAGUAGACGAGUGGCAUAAAACCCAUAAGUACAUUCACUAUGGUGGCAUAAAAAUAAAAUAAAUAACUCUUUUCUGUUUUAUAAAAAAAAGAGAAAAUAUAAAAACAGGGAGUAAUAAUUAUUAAGGAGUCUCAACAUGAUAAAGGCUAGAUAUUUAUGCUAACACUUAAUCAAGUUCCACAAGCUUUGUUGUCUAUUUCAGCUCCACAGAAUUUAAGAAUCAAGAAGACUAGCAAACGGAGGACAUUCUAAUCGCUGUCAGAAUACUGCUGACUUUCAAAUACACUUCUGCCACCUGCUAGCUACAUCAAGAGAAAUUACGUCAAAAUUCACCUUGGGGGAGAGCACCCCCAUUUAUCUCGAUAAGUAUUUCUAUCUAUCUAUCUUUAUACUUAUAUUAUUUUAGAAUAUAAAUAUACAUAACUAUGAAAAAAAACAAAUAAGGAUUUUGUGCUUAUAUAUAUGUCUUUUGCUUAGUGUGUUUAAUAAAUAAAUAAAGUGGCUAUGCUAAUCUGUAUCUUAAAAAAUAAAAAAAACUCUAGCAUGGAUAUGAUGAAUAGUUGCUCUGCCUAAUUUGCAAAUUUUAAGUUCUCUCUCAUGUUUAGACAUAACUGUUAUAAUUUAAAGCUUGCUCUAGACCUAAACUUGUGGGAUGAAAACUUGAUCUGAAGUCUAAGUUGUUAACGGAUAUGAUAUGGGAAGGUUGAGCUGUUGUUUAUCUGUUCCUAGAGAUGCUAGAAUUCUGGAGAAUUUUAUCUUUGAAAAUCUUUAAAAUGUUGCAUGAUGAGUUCCUGUAUGAUGAGAGUUUAAAUUCCUACCACAGCCAUAUAUACAUGCUUGUUAGAUUUUGAGCCACACAUUUACUAUUUACUGCUUAUGAGCAUUGAGUGUGGUCAAGCUGUGUAGACCCUUAGGAGCUUGUCAUGUGGUUAAAUCAAGAUUCACUUGCACGUUCACUCAUAUAUGCUACUUCUACUCCGGAAGUACCAUCCACAUAUAUCCACCCAUUCCAUCUCCAGAAUCAC